rnacentral:rRNA from 1 species
CCCUUAGAUGUUCUGGGCCGCACGCGCGCUACACUGACGAAUGCAACGAGCUUAUAACCUUGGCCGAAAGGUCUGGGUAAUCUCCAAAUUUCGUCGUGAUGGGGAUAGAUUAUUGCAAUUAUUAAUCUUCAACGAGGAAUCCCUAGUAAGCGCAAGUCAUCAGCUUGCGUUGAUUACGUCCCUGCCCUUUGUACACACCGCCCGUCGCUCCUACCGAUUGAAUGGUCCGGUGAAGCGUUCGGACCGUGGCCUUUGGACGGUUCGCCGUCUGUUGGCUGCGGGAAGUUCGUUAAACCUUAUCAUUUAGAGGAAGGAGAAGUCGUAACA